UGCCAGCCGCCGCGGUAACACGGGGGGCGCAAGCGUUACUCGGAAUUAUUGGGCGUAAAGGGUCCGUAGGCGGGAAAAUAAGUCAGUGGUGAAAGCCUGCAGCUCAACUGCAGAACUGCCAUUGAAACUGUUUUUCUUGAAUAUAGAUGAAGUGGGCGGAAUAUAUCAUGUAGCGGUGAAAUGCAUAGAUAUGAUAUAGAACACCGAUUGCGAAGGCAGCUCACUAAACUAUUAUUGACGCUGAGGGACGAAAGCGUGGGGAGCGAACAGGAUUAGAUA
rnacentral:rRNA from 1 species